rnacentral:rRNA from 1 species
CGACUUCUGUGCGGUAGUUAACGCAUUAAGCGCCCCCCCUGGGGAGUACGGCCGCAAGGCUAAAACUCAAAGGAAUUGACGGGGGCCCGCACAAGCGGCGGAGGCAUGUGGAUUAAUUCGAUGCAACGCGAAGAACCUUAUCCUGGGCUUGACAUACACCGGACCGGGCCAGAGAUGGUCUUUCCCUUGUGGCUGGUGUACAGGUGGGUGCAUGGUUGUCGUCAGCUCGUGUCGUGAGAUGUUGGGUUAAGUCCCGCAACCGAGCGCAACCCUUGUCUUAUGUUGCCAGCACGUGAUGGUGGGGACUCAUGAGAGACUGCCGGGGUCAACUCGGAGGAAGGUGGGGAUGACGUCAAAUCAUCAUGCCCCUUAUGUCCAGGGCUUCACACAUGCUACAAUGGUCGGUACAACGCGUCGCGACAUCGUAAGGUGGAGCUAAUCGCUGAAAGCCGCCUCAGUUCGGGUAGGUUUCUGCAACUCGACGAACAUGAAGUCGGAGUCUUUA